ACCUGUGUGUUUUAUUUGCUGCCACGGGGAGGACCUUACCUUCUCUUGUCCUCCAAAGAAUCCUUUAGAGGUAGAAGAGGGUCUUUGGGAACUUUGAGACCGGUGCUGCCUGGCUGUUGUUAACCUCCCUUUUUUGAAAAAGUUGGGGUUAGUUCCCCAACGAACGCAACCCUUUUUCUUUGUUGCCCACCCGUUUUGGUGGGAACUCAAAGGAGACUGCCGGUGAUAAACCCGAGGAAGGUGGGGAUGACGUCAAGUCAUCAUGGCCCUUACGAGUAGGGCUACCCACGUGCUACAAUGGCAGAUACAAAGAGAAGCGACCUCGCGAGAGCAAGCGGAACUCAUAAAGUCCGUCGUAGUCCGGAUUGGAGUUUGCAACUCGACUCCAUGAAGUUGGAAUCGCUUGUAAUCGUAGAUCAGAAUGCUACGGUGAAUACGUUCCCGGGCCUUGUACACACCGCCCGUCACACCCUGGGAGUGGGUUGCAAAAGAAGUAGG
rnacentral:rRNA from 1 species